CUUCGGGGGGCUGAGUGGCGCACGGCUGAGGAACACGUGGGUACCUGCCCCGGUGUGGGGGAUAACGGCCCGAAAGGGACGCUAAUCCCGCAUACGCUCUACGGAGGAAAGGCUUCGGUCGCACCGGGAGGGGCCUGCGGCCCAUCAGGUAGUUGGUGUGGUAAUGGCACACCAAGCCGAUGACGGGUCCCUGGUCUGAGAGGACGACCAGGCAGACUGGGACUGAGACACGGCCCAGACUCCUACGGGAGGCAGCAGCAAGGAAUUUUCCGCAAUGGGCGCAAGCCUGACGGAGCAACGCCGCGUGCCGGAGGACGGCCUUCGGGUUGUAAACGGCUUUUGCCGGGGACGAAUGUGACGGUACCCGGCGAAUAAGCCCCGGCUAACUCCGUGCCAGCAGCCGCGGUAAUACGGAGGGGGCAAGCGUUGUCCGGACUCACUGGGCGUAAAGCGUGCGUAGGCGGCACGGUGCGUCGGCGCUGAAAGCGCCCCGCUCAACGGGGCGAGGUGCGGCGAUACGACCGAGCUUGAGGGCGUUGGAGGUUGGCGGAAUUCCGGGUGUAGUGGUGAAAUGCGUAGAUAUCCGGAGGAAUGCCGGUGGCGUAAGCGGCCAACUGGAACGCGCCUGACGCUGAGGCACGAAAGCGUGGGGAGCAAACCGGAUUAGAUACCCGGGUAGUCCACGCGGUAAACGAUGUCGGCUCGGUGUUCGGGUAUGUAUGACCAUGCCUGGGUGCCUAAGCUCACGCGGUAAGCCGACCGCCUGGGGACUACGAGCGCAAGCUUAAAACUCAAAGGAAUUGACGGGGGCCCGCACAAGCAGCGGAGCGUGUGGUUUAAUUCGACGCAACGCGAAGAACCUUACCCAGGCUUGACAUGUGGCUGCAUUCGGCAGAAAUGCCGGAGCCUUCGAGGGUGCCACACAGGUGCUGCAUGGCUGUCGUCAGCUCGUGUCGUGAGAUGUUGGGUUAAGUCCCGCAACGAGCGCAACCCUCGCCGGUAGUUAUACGUGUCUACCGGGACUGCCCUUCGGGGAGGAAGGCGGGGAUGACGUCAAGUCCGCAUGGCCCUUACGCCUGGGGCGACACACACGCUACAAUGGUACGGACAGUGCGUGGCAAGCCCGCGAGGGUCAGCUAAUCGCCAAACCGUACCUCAGUGCAGAUCGGGGGCUGCAACUCGCCCCCGUGAAGGCGGAGUUGCUAGUAACCGCGUAUCAGCCAUGGCGCGGUGAAUACGUACCCGGGCCUUGUACACACCGCCCGUCACGUCAUGGGAGUUGGCAAUGCCUGAAGU
rnacentral:rRNA from 1 species